rnacentral:lncRNA from 1 species
CUGUGGUAUUUUGGAGACUUAUGAACAUACGCGUGCCAAAUAGAAGGUUUAAAGUAAUUGGGGCUAAACUGUCAUUUUAAUAUCCUAGUUAAAUAUGUGGUCUGAUAUAUGCAAUGCAUGCAAGAGAUGCAUAGAUUACUCCCAAACAUUUAGAGGUGGAGUCCUGCUUUUCUUAGAGAGAGAAUCUUAGUAAUAGCAAAAGUGGAGUCAUGCCCCCAAGGUCCAAGCAUUGCCGUAAUGUAGAGAUGACACAUGGCAUCUCAGCUAGAUGACUUGAUUUCUUUUCGAGCACAACCCAUUCCAUAAGCCCAAUGGGUUUCAUCCCUCGAAAGAACUAACCAAAAAACUGAGCGAAACCUAUCAACAAACAUAGAUGAGCAAGGGUUCAGGUUACACCUUCCACACGA